GGUGAGCUUCAAACUUGGCUGCCUCUCCCGUCGCCGUCAAGAGCCACUCGCUCCCAAGAACCCUGCCAAUCGUGACUGGGUCCCGAACUCUGGCCAUCUCCGUCUCGGCCUCUUCGGCGAGCGCGGACACCCAAAAGCCCACCGGUUGCCUCCGAACUCGGCCGCCUCGGCCAUCGCCGCCAGGAGAAACUCACUCCGAAGAGCCUCGCCGGUCGUGGUUGGAUCCCGAGCUCUGACCGUUUUCGCGGCCUCUUCGGCGAUCGCAUACACCAAAAGCCAACUAGUCACCUCCGAGCUCGGUCACCUUUGCCAGUCGCCUCCAAGCUUGGCUGCCUUUACCGUUGCCUUCGGGAGCCACUCGCUCCAAGAACCCUUCCGGUCAUGGGUGGGUCCCGAACUCUAACCAUCUUCGCCUCGGCCUCUUCGGUGAGCGCGAACACCCAAAAGCCCGCUGGUCGCCUCCGAGCUCGGCCGCCUCCGCCGUCGUCGCGAGGAGCCACUCGCUCCGAAGAGCCUCGCCGGUCGUGGUUGGGUCCCGAGCUUUGAUCAUUUCUGCCUCGGCCUCUUUGACGAUCGCGUACGCUCAAAAUCCAGCCGGUCCCCUUCGAGCUUGGCCACCUCUGCCGUUGCCGUCAAGAGCCACUCGCUCCCAAGAACCCCACCGGUGGUGGUUGGGUCCCGACCAUCUCUGUAAGCAGGUUAUCAUAAUUUAAAUUUCCUUCUUAUGGAAAGUUGAUAUCUUGACUCUUAAUGUCAUCGUGCAACAAUUUGCAUGGGAACAAACUGAAUGGGACCAUCCCCCUUCUUUGCAGAGGCUAGAGAUAUGGCAAAACUGUAAGUAACAUUACUAGAACUCCUUUCGAUCAUGGUUUGUCACGUCACGGUGCUUCUUUCAUUGCUAGAAGAGUCCAUGGGGAUUCUUUGGUGAUGUAAUCCUUUUCCGCCAUUUUGAUUGCUCCUGUGUAGGAAUAUUUCGUCAAACAAUCUUAAGCUGAAUUUGAGCAGAAAUCACUUGACAGGAUUUAUUCCUGCUGAGUUUGGCAAUCUGAGAAGCAUCAUGGAUAUGUAUAAAACCUAUAAUCUUAGUUGAUAUUGUAGCUCUGAGUGGUUCAUGUCACCUUUUGUCGUGUUGUCAUGUCGGUGUCGGCUGUGAUUACUGAUUAUCACAAUUGAGCUCCUCAUACUUGGAUGGCUUGUGAUGUAACUUCUUGGUUAACUUUAUUAGGUUUGGGUAUUGUAUUGUUUUCACACAUGAAAUGUGGAUAAUGUUAUGCUUAACUUUACAGGAGGCUGGACCAUAAUAAUUUAUCUGGAGAUGUGAUUUCACUGAUGAACUCCCCUAGUCUGACUAUUCUAAAUGUAUCGUACAACAACUUGGUUGGGGAAAUACCCAUGAAUGACAAUUCCUCCCGCUUUUCACAAGACAGGCAAGCAAACUAGAUAUUAAGCUUCAUGAAUGAGUAAUUCUGAUCAUAUGCACUUGCGUGCCAGUUUUUUUUUUUUCAAAUGUUCAAUAAUUGAUGGUGCAGUUUUGUUGGGAAUCCUAGACUCUGUGGCUAUUGGCUAAAUUCUCCUUGUGGCAAUUCUCACUUGACUGAACGAGUAACAAUUUCUAAAGCUGCCAUACUGGGAAUUGCUCUUGGUGCACUUGUUAUCCUUCUCAUGAUUCUGGUGGCAGCAUGCCGACCUCAGAAUUCUAACCCAUUCGUUGAUGGAUCCUUUGGUAAACCAGGUACCAUGCAUCUCGAGCAACAUACUUGCUUAUUGUGUGAAAGAAUGGGGAUGUUUUCUUUAAUGAACUUUAAAAGCUCAUGCCUGUGAACUUUAUCAGUUUUACUUUAGGGAAUGUACUUCUACCAUCAGCAGAAUUACCUUGAUAUGUUUGCCUUGCCUCAUGAAUUGUGUCAUUAUUACGAUAAACAAGCAUGCAUUAUCACCAAAACGAGAUUCUUGGUUGAGACAAUGAGCUCUUUUUGAAAAUCCUGUGCGAUAGUUUUUGCCUGAAGUGAAAUCAUUGAGCCUGUAAUCUUGCAUUUAACUCCUAUGUUGUUGCUUAAUAGCUGUCUACUAUUCACCACCAAAGCUGGUAAUUCUACACAUGAACAUGGCCCGCCCUACAUGUCUACGAGGAUAUCAUGAGGAUGACUGAGAAUUUAAGUGAGAAGUAUAUAAUUGGUUAUGGGGCUUCAAGCACAGUAUACAAAUACGUUCUUAAAAAUUGCAAGCCGGUCGCCAUCAAGAGACUCUACUCUCAAUAUCCACAGUGCUUGGAGACAGUCUCAAGCUCUGUCUCAAACUCCUUCAAGGAUACUCUCUGUCCCCUUCUGGCAACCUUCUUUUUAACGAUUACAUGGAAAAUGGCAGCCUCUGGGAUCUUCUCCAUGGUGAGUGAAGUUUCUUUUAAUGACUUGGAUGUCCUGCUCAAGAGCCUCUUAGGUAUCAGGUACAAUGGAUGCAGGCCUUCGCAGUCUAUUAAAGCUCACCAAAAACGUGUCUUUGCAGCCGUCUGGCACCAAUAUCUUCCUCUUCUCAUAUCCAUCUCUUCUGACUUGAAUAUUGGUAUCCAUAAGAUCACCUCAUGAGUUUGGAAUGAAACAGCCGUCCAUUCGUCAUGCGGUCGUGAGGAAUCUGGGUUCAUGCUUGAUGCAUUACCUUGCCUCGUCAUGUGACUGGUGAAAUUUGAGUGACAGAAGGGGUAUCCAUUUAAAUUUUGCAGUUCUUUGUAGCCUCUAAAUGUUGUGGAAGUGUAAUUGGGCAAUAAUCUCGUCAGUCAUUCAAUGAACAUUGUCAUGUAAUCGUGGGGUUGGACCCUUCACACUUGAUGAGGUGAUUUUGGAUGUAGAUAAGAUCAUCACAAAAAUUUGUUGCUAGAAAAUAAGCAUGAGUAACCGCUGACCUCUUUUGUGGGAAGCCUUAAUUUUUUUCAA